rnacentral:rRNA from 1 species
UACGAAGGGGGCUAGCGUUGCUCGGAAUGACUGGGCGUAAAGGGCGCGUAGGCGGACUGUACAGUCAGGUGUGAAAUUCCUGGGCUUAACCUGGGGGCUGCGCUUGAGACGUAGGGUCUAGAGUUCGGAAGAGGGUCGUGGAAUUCCCAGUGUAGAGGUGAAAUUCGUAGAUAUCGGGAGGAACACCAGUGGCGAAGGCGGCGAUCUGGGAAGAUACUGACGCUGAGGUGCGAAAGCGUGGGGAGCAAACAGG